rnacentral:lncRNA from 1 species
UAUACAUUACACUACUUAAAAUAGUCACUUUUCCCCAAAUUCUAAACUCUCAGGAUCAUAGUCGUUGGAUAUUUAUUCCCCUUUAAAGAAAAACCUUUAGAAGAUCUAUGAAUGUUAACAGUUCGGUGGAAUUGAGGUUACAUUUUACCUUUACUGUAGGAAAACAAAUAAGAAAUUAUGCCCAGAUGUCAGCUUGGUUAUUAGCACUUGUUCCUGGUUAAUUAUUAAAUGUUUUUAUUAAUAAAGUUGCAGUCUUUCCACAUUAUAUAUUUUUACUGUAUUACUUGAUAUUUCAUUCUUGUUUGUUUUUAGGUCUACAGUGAAUAUAGAGCCAGUCUUGCUUUUGACCUUGUUAGCAGCCGACAGAAAAAUGCAUACACUGAUUACAGUGACUCUGUAGCACGGAGGAUGGGCUUUAUUCCUCUCCCACUAGCUGUUUUAGUUGAUAUCCCUGAAAGUACUUAAUAGCAUCGUGCUGUUGGGGAAAUCGUGCCAGUAUGUGAAGGAAGCCAAAAUGGAAGAGAAGCUGUCGAAUCCUCCCGCAACCUGCACUCCAGGCAAG